GCAAGUUCUUCUCAAAAGGGAUGGAUGUUAACCAUCUUCGAAGGGUCAACAUAGAUCAAGGGAAGGAAUAUGUACAUGCAUUUCAAAUGCUAGUAAGCAGACUUCUAACCCUUUGCGUCCCAACCAUAGCCGUUGUAAGGGGACAUGCUGCUGGGCCAGGUUGCAUUUUUGCUUUGGCU